AUACGAAGGGGGCUAGCGUUGUUCGGAAUUACUGGGCGUAAAGCGCGCGUAGGCGGACUGAUCAGUUGGGGGUGAAAUCCCAGGGCUUAACCCUGGAACUGCCUCCAAUACUGUCAGUCUUGAGUUCGGGAGAGGUGAGUGGAAUUCCUAGUGUAGAGGUGAAAUUCGUAGAUAUUAGGAAGAACACCAGUGGCGAAGGCGGCUCACUGGCCCGAUACUGACGCUGAGGCGCGAAAGCGUGGGGAGCAAACAGGAUUAGAAACCCAGUAGUCC
rnacentral:rRNA from 1 species